GGAUGAACGCUGGCGGCGUGCCUAAUACAUGCAAGUCGAACGAACUUCCGUUAAUUGAUUAUGACGUACUUGUACUGAUUGAGAUUUUAACACGAAGUGAGUGGCGAACGGGUGAGUAACACGUGGGUAACCUGCCCAGAAGUAGGGGAUAACACCUGGAAACAGAUGCUAAUACCGUAUAACAGAGAAAACCGCAUGGUUUUCUUUUAAAAGAUGGCUCUGCUAUCACUUCUGGAUGGACCCGCGGCGUAUUAGCUAGUUGGUGAGGUAAAGGCUCACCAAGGCAGUGAUACGUAGCCGACCUGAGAGGGUAAUCGGCCACAUUGGGACUGAGACACGGCCCAGACUCCUACGGGAGGCAGCAGUAGGGAAUCUUCCACAAUGGACGCAAGUCUGAUGGAGCAACGCCGCGUGAGUGAAGAAGGGUUUCGGCUCGUAAAGCUCUGUUGUUAAAGAAGAACGUGGGUAAGAGUAACUGUUUACCCAGUGACGGUAUUUAACCAGAAAGCCACGGCUAACUACGUGCCAGCAGCCGCGGUAAUACGUAGGUGGCAAGCGUUAUCCGGAUUUAUUGGGCGUAAAGCGAGCGCAGGCGGUCUUUUAAGUCUAAUGUGAAAGCCUUCGGCUCAACCGAAGAAGUGCAUUGGAAACUGGGAGAC
rnacentral:rRNA from 1 species